UACGAAGGGGACUAGCGUUGUUCGGAAUUACUGGGCGUAAAGCGCGCGUAGGCGGAUCGCUAAGUCAGGGGUGAAAUCCCAGGGCUCAACCCUGGAACUGCGUCUGAUACUGGAUGGCUUGAGUUUGGGAGAGGGACGCGGAAUUCCAGGUGUAGCGGUGAAAUGCGUAGAUAUCUGGAGGAACACCGGUGGCGAAGGCGGCGUCCUGGACCAACACUGACACUGAUGAGCGAAAGCCAGGGGAGCAAACGGG
rnacentral:rRNA from 1 species